rnacentral:rRNA from 2 species
GCGGGUGGUGUUGGCGGUUGCAUCUUUUACAUAACUGAACGACUCUCGGCAACGGAUAUCUCGGCUCUUGCAUCGAUGAAGAACGUAGCGAAAUGCGAUACUUGGUGUGAAUUGCAGAAUCCCGUGAACCAUCGAGUCUUUGAACGCAAGUUGCGCCUGAAGCCA